rnacentral:tRNA from 1 species
GCCGGGAUGGCGGAACUGGUAGACGCUUGGGACUUAAAAUCCCAUGAGGGCAACCUCAUUCGGGUUCGACUCCCGAUCUCGGCA